rnacentral:rRNA from 1 species
CCUACGGGUGGCUGCAGUGAGGAAUAUUGGUCAAUGGGCGGAAGCCUGAACCAGCCAAGUAGCGUGCGGGAUGACUGCCCUACGGGUCGUAAACCGCUUUUGCACGGGGAUAACACCCUCCACUUGUGGAGGUCUGCAGGUACCGUGCGAAUAAGGGCCGGCUAAUUCCGUGCCAGCAGCCGCGGUAAUACGGAAGGCCCGAGCGUUAUCCGGAUUCAUUGGGCUUAAAGGGAGCGUAGGCGGGCGUUCAAGUCAGCUGGAAAAUCGGGCGGCUAAACCGCGCACCGCAGUUGAAACUGGCAGCCUUGAGUACAGAAGAGGCAGGCGGAAUUCGUGGUGUAGCGGUGAAAUGCAUAGAUAUCACGAGGAACCCCGAUUGCGAAGGCAGCCUGCCGGGGUGCGACUGACGCUGAGGCUCGAAGGUGCGGGUAUCAAACAGGAUUAGAUACCCCUGUAGUC